AGUGAACGCUGGCGGUAGGCCUAACACAUGCAAGUCGAACGGCAGCACAGUAAGAGCUUGCUCUUACGGGUGGCGAGUGGCGGACGGGUGAGGAAUACAUCGGAAUCUACUUUUUCGUGGGGGAUAACGUAGGGAAACUUACGCUAAUACCGCAUACGACCUACGGGUGAAAGCAGGGGAUCUUCGGACCUUGCGUGAUUGAAUGAGCCGAUGUCGGAUUAGCUAGUUGGCGGGGUAAAGGCCCACCAAGGCGACGAUCCGUAGCUGGUCUGGGAGGAUGAUCAGCCACACUGGAACUGAGACACGGUCCAGACUCCGACGGGAGGCAGCGGUGGGGAAUAUUGGACAAUGGGCGCAAGCCUGAUCCAGCCAUACCGCGUGGGUGAAGAAGGCCUUCGGGUUGUAAAGCCCUUUUGUUGGGAAAGAAAAGCAGCAGGUUAAUACCCCGCUGUUCUGACGGUACCCAAAGAAUAAGCACCGGCUAACUUCGUG
rnacentral:rRNA from 1 species